UUACCUGGUUGAUCCUGCCAGUAGUCAUAUGCUUGUCUCAAAGAUUAAGCCAUGCAUGUCUAAGUACAGGCCGAACCAAGGCGAAACCGCGAAUGGCUCAUUAAAUCAGUUAUGGUUCAUUGGAUGUUACCUUGUUUUACUUGGAUAACUGUGGUAAUUCUAGAGCUAAUACAUGAUACCCCAGCUCCGACCGCAAGGAAAGAGCGCUUUUAUUAGAUCAAAACCAAUCGGGCUUCGGUCCGUUCUCACUGUGGUGACUCUGAAUAACUUUGAGCUGAGCGCAUGGUCUUUGAACCGGCGCCAUAUCCUUCAAGUGUCUGCCUUAUCAGCUUUCGAUUGUAGGUUAUGCGCCUACAAUGGCUAUAACGGGUAACGGGGAAUCAUGGUUCGAUUCCGGAGAGGGAGCCUGAGAAACGGCUACCACAUCUAAGGAAGGCAGCAGGCACGCAAAUUACCCACUCCCGGCUCGGGGAGGUAGUGACGAAAAAUAACGAUGCGGGACUCUUCCGAGGCCUCGCAAUCGGAAUGAGCACACUUUAAAUCCUUUAACGAGGAUCUAUUGGAGGGCAAGUCUGGUGCCAGCAGCCGCGGUAAUUCCAGCUCCAAUAGCGUAUAUUAAAGUUGCUGCGGUUAAAAAGCUCGUAGUUGGAUCUCAGUUCCGGACCGACGGUUCACCGCCCGGUGCUUACUGUCGGCUUCCGAACAGCCGCACGCCGGCUCGGCCAGGGUGCUCUUCAUCGAGUGUCCUGGUUUCGGCCGGCACGUUUACUUUGAAAAAAUUAGAGUGCUCAGCGCAGGCUGCAACGCCUGAAUAAUCUGUGCAUGGAAUAAUGGAAUAGGACCUCGGUUCUAUUUUGUUGGUUUUCGGAACCCGAGGUAAUGAUUAAUAGGAACUGUCGGGGGCAUUCGUAUUGCGACGUUAGAGGUGAAAUUCUUGGAUCGUCGCAAGACGGACUACUGCGAAAGCAU
rnacentral:rRNA from 1 species